UGGGGAAUAUUGGACAAUGGGCGAAAGCCUGAUCCAGCCAUGCCGCGUGUGUGAAGAAGGUCUUCGGAUUGUAAAGCACUUUAAGUUGGGAGGAAGGGCAUUAACCUAAUACGUUAGUGUUUUGACGUUACCGACAGAAUAAGCACCGGCUAACUCUGUGCCAGCAGCCGCGGUAAUACAGAGGGUGCAAGCGUUAAUCGGAAUUACUGGGCGUAAAGCGCGCGUAGGUGGUUUGUUAAGUUGGAUGUGAAAUCCCCGGGCUCAACCUGGGAACUGCAUUCAAAACUGACUGACUAGAGUAUGGUAGAGGGUGGUGGAAUUUCCUGUGUAGCGGUGAAUGCGUAGAUAUAGGAAGGAACACCAGUGGCGAAGGCGACCACCUGGACUAAUACUGACACUGAGGUGCGAAAGCGUGGGGAGCAAACA
rnacentral:rRNA from 1 species